CCUUCCGUAUUCUCUAUUAACAUCCUUGAUCUUGUCAAGAUAAUAAAUCAAAUCACUCCAUCAUUAUGAAUUUUUGGUUGUGUUCUUUUUUCAAUAUAUACAUAUAUAUAUACAUAGAUAUAUAUAUAUACAUAUAUACAUAUAUACAUAUAUAUAUAUGUAUAUAUACAUAUAUAGAUACAUAUAUACAUAUAUACAUAUAUACAUAUAUAGAUAUAUAUGUAUAUAUGUGUAUAUGUGUAUAUAUGUGUAUAUGUGUAUAUAUGUGUAUAUAUAUUUGUAUAUGUGUAUAUGUGUAUAUAUGUAG
rnacentral:lncRNA from 1 species